AAUCAUCCGGUACUGAUUUGUAUUUGUGCCGGGAUGGAACCAAUGACGUAUAUAUAUAGCUAUAUAUAGAGGACUUCAUCCUCUCAAAACAUGCGCAACACAAGCUUCUCAGGCCAGGGCUGUACCAUCCCUCAAUUUGGGGAAACCAGAAAAAAAGAUGUUCAGAGGGAGUUGAUGCCUCAUCUGGUCAAGCCGAUUGGAAGGUCUUGAAGUUCUCUGAAUGUAGAUGGUCCUCUGACUGGAUUUAAGGUUCAGAUGCUCAGUAACAAACUCCACCAAUGAGCAAACAGGGAAGUUUUAGGUCUAUUAAAUGUUGCUAUGAAGGUAUCACUGUUUGUCUUUGUGAAUGCAAUGUGCUCUUUAAAUUGAACUUAGAAGUAAAUCCUUCCAUCUGAAAGGAUUUAGUUGCAUUAGUAACCUCAUAACAUUCUAAUUUUUAUUCUAGUCUUGAUUGGAAAUAGAAUCUCUGUAUUGAUUGAGCGUUUGUUAUGCUGAAGCAGUCACCAGUUUUUCUGGAGCGAAUGAGAAAGAGUCUUACCACAUCCUGACAUGAGGAAAAAGACUGUAUUGAAGAUGACAAUGAGAAAAACUAGCAAACAGCAGACGGCAUGCAUUCAAGGUGAGCUCUGAACAUCUGAUCUGGAACAGGAAUUCAAUAACGGCAGCAUGAGCUUCAUUUCAGUCUGUAGCUGCUGAAUUCAUGGAUGGAUCAUCUGCCACUAGAGAGGAAGACCAUCAAACUUCCACAUCAGCUGAUGGAGGUCCAAGAGUCUCACCAAACAACCUACAGAGUGAAGACCUCUAACCUGAUUGGACGGCCUCCUAUUCAGCCACAUGUGUGAACAAAUGCCUCCAAGUUGAUUUGUUUUCUAAAAUAAAUCUAGUUUGAGUCCCAA